UGGGCGAAGCCUGAUGCAGCUAUACCGCGUGUAUGAAGAAGGCCUUAGGGUUGUAAAGUACUUUCGUUGGGGAGGAAAAAUAAAUAGAUAAUACCUGUUUAUCGUGACGUUACCCAAAAAAGAAGCACCGGCUAACUCCGUGCCAGCAGCCGCGGUAAUACGGAGGGUGCGAGCGUUAAUCAGAAUUACUGGGCGUAAAGAGCUCGUAGGCGGUUGUUUAAGUCAGAUGUGAAAUCCCUGGGCUUAACCUAGGAACUGCAUUUGAAACUAAAAGACUAGAGUAUCGUAGAGGGAGGUAGAAUUCUAGGUGUAGCGGUGAAAUGCGUAGAUAUCUGGAGGAAUACCUGUGGCGAAAGCGGCCUCCUAAACGAAUACUGACGCUGAGGUGCGAAAGCAUGGGGAGCAAACAGGAUUAGAUACCCUGGUAGUCCAUGCCGUAAACGAUGUCGACUUGGAGGUUGUUUCCUUGAGAAGUGACUUCCGAAGCUAACGCGUUAAGUCGACCGCCUGGGGAGUACGGUCGCAAGGCUAAAACUCAAAUGAAUUGACGGGGGCCCGCACAAGCGGUGGAGCAUGUGGUUUAAUUCGAUGCAACGCGAAAAACCUUACCUGGUCUUGACAUCCACAGAAUUUUUCAGAGAUGAAAAAGUGCCUUAGGGAACUGUGAGACAGGUGCUGCAUGGCUGUCGUCAGCUCGUGUUGUGAAAUGUUGGGUUAAGUCCCGCAACGAGCGCAACCCUUAUCCUCUGUUGCCAUUGGUUCGGCCAGGAACUCAGAGGAGACUGCCGGUUAUAAACCGGAGGAAGGCGGGGACGACGUCAAGUCAUCAUGGCCCUUACGACCAGGGCUACACACGUGCUACAAUGGUGUAUACAAAGAGAAGCAACUCUGCAAAGACAAGCAAACCUCAUAAAGUACAUCGUAGUCCGACUGA
rnacentral:rRNA from 2 species